rnacentral:rRNA from 1 species
CCUACGGGAGGCAGCAGUGGGGAAUAUUGCACAAUGGGGGAAACCCUGAUGCAGCGACGCCGCGUGAGUGAAGAAGUAUUUCGGUAUGUAAAGCUCUAUCAGCAGGGAAGAAACCCACCCUCCGGGGUGGCUGACGGUACUUGACUAAGAAGCCCCGGCUAACUACGGGCUAGCAGCCGCGGUAAUACGUAGGGGGCAAGCGUUAUCCGGAUUUACUGGGUGUAAAGGGAGCGUAGGUGGCAUGGCAAGUCAGAUGUGAAAACCCGGGGCCCAACCCCGGGAGUGCAUUUGAAACUGUUUGGCUAGAGUGCAGGAGAGGUAAGUGGAAUUCGUGGUGUAGCGGUGAAAUGCAUAGAUAUUAGGAGGAACACCAGUGGCGAAGGCGGCUUACUGGACUGUAACUGACACUGAGGCUCGAAAGCGUGGGGAGCAAACAGGAUUAGAUACCCUGGUAGUC